AACGAACGCUGGCGGCAUGCCUAAUACAUGCAAGUCGAACGAGACCCUCGGGUCUGGUGGCGCACGGGUGCGUAACGCGUGGGAACCUGCCCGUAGGGUCGGGAGAGCUCCCCGCGAGGGGUCCGAAUACCGGCUGAUUUCUUCGGACCAAAGAUUUCUCGCCUUUGGAUGGGCCCGCGUUGGAUUAGCUAGUUGGUAGGGUAAGAGCCUACCAAGGCGACGACCCAUAGCUGGUCUGAGAGGAUGAUCAGCCACACUGGGACUGAGACACGGCCCAGACUCCUACGGGAGGCAGCAGUGGGGAAUAUUGGACAAUGGGCGAAAGCCUGCUCCAGCAAUGCCGCGUGAGUGAUGAAGGCCUUAGGGUUGCAAAGCUCUUUUACCCGGGAUGAUAAUGACAGUACCGGGAGAAUAAGCCCCGGCUAACUCCGUG
rnacentral:rRNA from 1 species